rnacentral:rRNA from 1 species
GAAGAAAGGGCCGGGCAAGACCGGUGCCAGCCGCCGCGGUAAUACCGGCGGCUCGAGUGGUGGCCGCUUUUAUUGGGCUUAAAGCGUUCGUAGCUGGGUUGUUAAGUCUCUUGGGAAAUCUGGCGGCUUAACCGUCAGGCGUCUAAGGGAUACUGGCAAUCUUGGAACCGGGAGAGGUGAGGGGUACUUCGGGGGUAGGAGUGAAAUCCUGUAAUCCUCGAGGGACCACCUGUGGCGAAGGCGCCUCACCAGAACGGCUUCGACAGUGAGGGACGAAAGCUGGGGGAGCAAACCGGAUUAGAUACCCGUGUAGUCC